GAUGAACGCUGGCGGCGUGCCUAAUACAUGCAAGUCGAGCGAACAGACGAGGAGCUUGCUCCUCUGACGUUAGCGGCGGACGGGUGAGUAACACGUGGAUAACCUACCUAUAAGACUGGGAUAACUUCGGGAAACCGGAGCUAAUACCGGAUAAUAUAUUGAACCGCAUGGUUCAAUAGUGAAAGACGGUUUUGCUGUCACUUAUAGAUGGAUCCGCGCCGCAUUAGCUAGUUGGUAAGGUAACGGCUUACCAAGGCAACGAUGCGUAGCCGACCUGAGAGGGUGAUCGGCCAGACUGGAACUGAGACACGGUCCAGACUCCUACGGGAGGCAGCAGUAGGGAAUCUUCCGCAAAGGGCGAAAGCCUGACGGAGCAACGCCGCGUGAGUGAUGAAGGUCUUCGGAUCGUAAAACUCUGUUAUUAGGGAAGAACAAAUGUGUAAGUAACUAUGCACGUCUUGACGGUACCUAAUCAGAAAGCCACGGCUAACUACGUG
rnacentral:rRNA from 1 species